rnacentral:tRNA from 1 species
GGUACCUUGGCGAAGAGGUUAUCGUACUCCCUUUGGGACCUCAAUACCAUGGGAGAGGUCAGGGGUUCGAAUCCCCUAGGUACCC